AUCUGGCUAACCAGUCUCAAAUAAGACGAAACGCUUGUCCUAGAU
rfam:Schistosoma curassoni strain Dakar, Senegal genome assembly, scaffold: SCTD_scaffold0007458